rnacentral:ncRNA from 1 species
AAUAAUAGUCUGGAUUUCACUAUAAAACUCUCUAAUAACUAGAAAACACAUAGACAAAAAAACCAAUAAAUAAACCAGAACUAGUACUAAAAAUUUAGCAAUGAACGAAAGUUCGACUAAGCAAAGUUAUUAACACCAUGCUAACCUCGUGCCAGCCGCAGCGGUUAUACGAGGUAGAAGAAGAGAACAAAACCGGCUAAAAGAGUGGUCAAACCAUAAAACAUUCAAAAGAGAAAACUACCAGCUGUAAAAAGCCUAAAAGAAGACGAAACACCAUCACUGAAAUCCUUAAGAACCACCAAAAUUUAAAAAUAAACUGGGAUUAGAUACCCCACUAUAUUACAAAAUAAACCAACUUUUAACGCCUGGGAAAUAAUACAAAAGUAAAAACCCAAAAAUCUUGGCGGUACUUUACCCCGUUAGAGGAGCUUGAAAAAUAAAUCGAUAAUCCACGAUUAACCUCACUAUCUUUAGCUAAACAGCCUGUAUAUCAUUGUCGAAAGUUAACUUCAACAAAAAUUUUAACACAAAGAACAUUAAACAAAACGUCAAAUAAAGAUGCAGCCCAUAAGAUAGACAAUUUGAGCUACAAUUUUAAAAAUAAGCCCGGAAAUAAAAUGAAAAUAAUUAUAGAAGCAGGAUUUAAAAGUAAUAAAAAUUUAGAAUAUUUUCAUGAAAAGGCCCUAAAGUACGCACAGAUCGCCCGUCACUCUCCAAACCAAAAAAGCAAGGAGAUAAGUCGUAACAAAGUAGGAGUACUGGAAAGUGCCCCUAG